CACGUAGGGGGCAAGCGUUGUCCGGAUUCAUUGGGCGUAAAGAGCUCGUAGGCGGUUCGAUAAGUCGGGUGUGAAACCUCCAGGCUCAACCUGGAGACGCCACCCGAUACUGUCGUGACUAGAGUCCAGUAGGGGAGCGUGGAAUUCCUGGUGUAGCGGUGAAAUGCGCAGAUAUCAGGAGGAACACCGGUGGCGAAGGCGGGUCUCUGGGCCGAAACUGACGCUGAGGAGCGAAAGCGUGGGGAGCGAACAGG
rnacentral:rRNA from 1 species